GUACUUGUUCAAUUUCAGAUGCUAAAAGCAGAAGUGGAACAACAUCACCCCUCUGCAUCGCAAGUUUCAUUUCUGUACUUUUGCUAGUGCUGCUUUGGGGAGGACUUGCAUUCAUCUUCUGGAGAUAUAAAGGACAGAGAGAGAGGCAGAUGGGGAAUGACAACAGACAAAGAAGAGGCACAGACCAAGAACGUGAUGUAAGCUAACAUAAAGAUCAAAUAGUUCCUGUGUUGCAUUACACAACCAAAAAGGCUGUGUAAGGAAGGCCGAAGUUUACCACAUCCCUAACCCCAAGCACACACAAAUAGACAGAGGGAUACAGAGAAGAAGAGAGUGAGACAGAGAGAAAGAGUAAAAAGUGAUGCAGUGUCUUGUGUGUAGAUGUCGGCCACAUCAACAUAUGAAGAACUUCAGCAUCGCUACAGUGCAGGGCAGAUGUACUCAACCAUUGGGCAGAACACUGGAGUGCAGGGCAUCACGAUGCUGGUGUGUCUCAGCUGUGGCUUGUUGUCCAGCGCUCAACUUGAGCAUGGCAAGAACAGGCUCGCGACAGGAGACACCAAGAGCCUGUCUCCAAGCACACGCGAUGAGACCAUUGAAAAUGAGAUCGAAAUCGAGCUGUCCGGUGGGCAUGGGAAUGUAGCAAUUUUAAUGAAACUAUCUGCCUUGGACUGGAGACUCAGGACCAGUGAGAGAAGGCUUGAGGAGCUUCAGAGAGAGAAUAAAGGUGAUACUGUUCACUUUGCUUUGCCUCUUGGUCAUUCAGCAUGAAUUGUCACUGUUGAAGUAGAAUGCCCCGCAUCACACAACUGAUUUCCACAAACGCAGCCCAAGCGUCCGCACUGAGAGAGAUGGAGAGGAGGCUGACCUAUCGACUGAUCAAAUCGGAGACCGGUGUGAAGGAAAUGGGCAGGAACCUCUCAGGUAUGAUACCGCAUGCCCACAUUUUUGCACUCUGUAAUGCCUAAGAGUGAGCUUAACAAACAUCAUAACAACCUGUCUGCAUGAUUUGACCUUGCAGAGAGACCCAAGAUUGCCUUCUCAGCCUCAGUAGGAGGAGUGGGGAACAGUGGACCGUACAACACAGACACAACGCUGCUCUUCAAAGAUGUCAUUACCAACAUAGGGAAUGCUUACAGACCUGCUACAGGUACUGUGGUCUACAAGCCAGUGUGAUCCAACAU
rnacentral:lncRNA from 1 species